UCAUGGGGCAUGUUUGACACUGGUCCUCCGCCGGCCCCAUGCAGUGGAAGCACUUAACAUGGCAGGGCUUGCACCCGGGAGCAUCCUCAUCCCAGUACUCGGAGGGAAAUUGAGGCUGGAGAUGCUAAGUCACUUACGCUAAGUAGUAUCAGGAGUUGAGCCCAGGACCUUAGCAACUGCCUUGCUGCUUCUGCUCCAGUGCUUCAGGAAAGAGAAAGGCCAGAAGUUGAACCUCAGUUCCUGCCCUCGCAGAGGCAAGAUGGCGCUGGAGGCCUGCUGCUGAGUCUCUCACCUCCCAGAAGCCAUUCCCAGCUCCACAGCCUGCCUCCCACACGAACACCCGCCUCUUCUGCAUGCGGACACAGCCUUGACAUCCACGCCUUUUCACAUAUGGGCAGGUAGGACAUUAACACUAAAUAGUGCUUUAUAUAAAACACACAAAAAGACAUAUCCACAGCACAAGGCUGGAGCAGAAAGCCUUCAGGACCGAGACACAUCUUCGUGUCCUACUAAAAACCUUCCCCUCAGUAUGUCCUAGGGUGUGGGUGUCCCAGGGUUUCUCAGUGGAAGGUCACUCUCAGGCUCUCGCGGUUGUUAGGGGAAUUGCCUCUGGACAUCUAUCUUGUCGUGUUUGCUUGGGGGCGACAUGUGGGGGUGAAGGACCUCAGGCUGCCUCAACAGAGUGAAUCCUGGGCUCUAGAAAAGCCCCCGCCCCACAACAUUUCUCUCACUUGCUAGAGAAUUCUAGAGUGCAUAACUUAUUUUAUUUUUCUGUUCCUUGAUAAUGAAUAAGAGGCAAAUGAUUCAUGCCGAGUUAAAACAUAAGGAGGUAUAAAUAAUAGCAGAUCCUUUCUUGAACAUGCAGGGACUGAGUGGGAGUGGAAAUGGGGACCUUGGAGCAGGAAUUGAAGGAUAUGAAGAGGAAGGUGGGGAGCUUCCAGGGAGCAAACCAUGAAGGGAGGCUGGGCGCGGUGGCUCACACCUGUAAUCCCAGCACUUUGGGAGGCCAGGGUGGGCGGAUCACUUGAGAUCAGGCAUUCAGGACCAGCCUGGCCAACAUGGUGAAACCCUGUCUCUACUAAAAAUGCAAAAAUUAGCUAGGUGUGGUGGCAGCCACCUAUAAUCCCAGCUACUCAGGAGGCUGAGGCAGGAGAACCACUUGAACCCAGGAGGUGGAGGCUGCGAUGAGCUGAGAUCAUGCCACUGCACUCCAACCUGGGCAACAGAGUGAGACUCCAUCUCAAGAACAACAAUAACAAAAUAUGGACCGAGCGCCAUGGCUCACGCUUAUUAUCCCAGCACUUUGGAAGGGCGAGGCAGGUGGAUCACUUGAGGUCAGGAGUUCAAGACCAGCCUGGUCAACAUGGUGAAACCCCCUCUCUACUAAAAAUAGAAAAA
rnacentral:lncRNA from 1 species